rnacentral:rRNA from 1 species
AUGGCGAAGCCCGGUGUGUAUCAUUGUUCUAUUUCCCUGCAAGCCCUGACUGUUUUCUCUGUGCUCGUAGUUCUUUUGGAAGAUGUCCAGGGAGGGGACAAGUGCCUAAGUUUUUCAUGCGGGCCUCUCCGAGACGUACGGUAUCCUUUCCGACGUCCAGGCGACCCACCUGGGUGUGGUGCUGAAGGAUAUGAGCUGGUUUGUAGCAGUAGCAAGGCUACAAUUUACAUCAACACUGGAACAUACUAUGUUACUGGCAUCAACUAUACUGAUUCAUCCUUCUGGGUUGUGGACGCCAAUUUUAAUGCCAACAGCAGCUGCCCUCUUCCUCGGUGGAACCAAGGUCCUUACACAUACGGCUUCAUUGAUUCACAUUACUAUCUUGAUUUGGCAAUUGAAGCCAACUGGGCAUGUUUCACCAAUUGUUCACGAGCAAUAACUAAUAACAGCAUGUACAAGGCUGUUACAUGCCUGAGCGGGAGCAAUUCACAUGUUUAUGUAUGGUGGCCUCCCCACCAUUGUGUGUUUCAAGAUCUUGAAUCUUCUUGUGGCUACUUGGCCAUGGUCCCCUUUGGUGACUACCGAUAUUCCUCUGACAGCCAACAAGUAGUACGGAAUGCAAGUUAUGCAGAUAUCAUGGGAUUUAUAAAGAAUGGGUUUUCUGUUCAGUUUCCUAUCAAUGUGUACGGGAAGCGGACUUGCUCUGAAGCCAUUAAUAUAUGCCUGAACAAUUCAACCAGAUACUUCAAGGAGCAAAUAUCUGAUGCAAGCAUCCUGAAGUGGGCUCAUGCCUAUUUCUGGAGUGAGAUACAUUUCUUCAACUGCGUAAAUUAUUACCGCGAUGAGGGUUACCACUGCCAGCCAAAGAUGUUUUUGAGAUUGCAAACCAUUGUACCUGCUAUUAAUAUCAUCAAGUUACUUAUUGUCCUAUGCAGGUUCAUAUUGGCGCCUCUGUCUCUGUUGAUUUUCCUGGUCUACAAGUACUGGAAAACAAGGAUAACUAUUGAUGCAGUUGAGAAGUUCCUCCGUAUGCAACAAAUUCUUGGCCCGACGAGGUACGCCUACACCGACAUCAUCGCAAUCACAAGCCAUUUCAGAGAUAAAUUGGGUCAAGGAGGCUAUGGCUCUGUGUUCAAGGGUGUGCUACUACCAGGCAAUGUUCAUGUUGCGGUCAAAAUGCUAGAAGGUAACUCCAACUGCAACGGAGAAGACUUCAUCAGUGAGGUCUCUACCAUUGGCAGGAUCCACCAUGUCAAUGUGGUUCAUCUUUUGGGAUUCUGCUCCGAAGAGAUGAGGAGGGCCCUCGUAUACGAGUACAUGCCUCGAGGUUCUCUUGACAAGUACAUCUUCUCAGACGUGAAAAGUUUCUCCUGGGACAAGCUUAAUGAGAUCGCUUUGGGCAUUGCCCGAGGGAUCAACUACCUGCAUCAGGGGUGUGAGAUGCAGAUUCUACACUUUGACAUCAAGCCACACAACAUCCUUCUUGACAGCAAUUUUGUCCCAAAAGUUGCUGAUUUUGGUCUCGCCAAACUAUACCCAAGGGACAACAGUUUUGUGCCGUCUAGAGCUCUACGGGGAACUAUUGGGUACAUAGCUCCUGAGAUGAUAUCUAGGAGCUUCGGUGUCAUAUCGAGCAAGUCUGACGUUUACAGCUUCGGAAUGCUGCUGCUGGAGAUGACUGGAGGAAGAAGGAACGCCGAUCCAAAUGCACCAAACUCAAGCCAAGCGUACUACCCGUCAUGGGUGUAUGACAGACUAACUGAACAAGAAGUGUGUGAGAUAUCUCCCGUUGCUGACAUGCAUGAGUUGGAGAGGAAGCUGUGCAUCGUUGGACUAUGGUGCAUCCAGAUGAAGUCUCAUGACAGGCCGACGAUGAGCACAGUCAUAGAGAUGCUGGAAGGUGGCUUCGAUGGCCUGCAGAUGCCUUCCAGGCCAUUCUUCUGUGAUGAUGAGCACACCGCUGUUCCAGAUUCUUACCCUUUGUUAUCCGAGCUGACCGAGAUCUCAGAGGAGGAUGAGAUCUCGGAUUCUUAUGUAUCCCGUAUCCUGUGA